CAUGUUUUGUCCAUUCUGUGGAAACGAUCUGAGAACUAUUACAGCCUUUUGCAGCUCGUGUGGCUCUAAUGUCCAGUUUUUGUCUGAAGAGGUUGAACGUGAGUCAUCAGUCCAUGUUUGUGAGGAUGAUCUUCUUCGAAAGUACUUCAGAGAUGGACACAGUUACAGUGUCAUUGUGGAUUUCUUGGCAUCGAAGCACAACAUUAAAAUGAGCCUUCGUACCCUGAAAAAAAAAAUUGAACAGACUGUCCUUGUACAAACGAAAAAAACUACUCGCCUUUGGACACUGUCCGGACAGCUAUUGUUGGCGAGUUGAAUGGUUCUGGACAGCAUUACGGUUACCGCGCAAUGUGCCAGACCCUGCGUCAAAAACAAUCUUACAGUGAGAAGGCAAGAUGUAAUGCUUAUGAUUGCAGACCUUGAUCCAUUAGGCAUUGAACAACGCUCAAGAAGAAGAUCUGUGAGAAGGGUUUACCAUUCUUUGGGGCCAAAUCAUGUCUGGCACAUUGAUGGCUAUGACAAAUUAAAACCAUACGGUUUGGCUAUAAGUGGUUGCAUUGAUGGUUACUCACGCAAAGUGAUGUGGUUAAACUGUGGAGCUAGCAAUAACAACCCAGACAUUAUAGCUGCUUAUUACCUACAUUGUGCCACACAAUUUGGAGUCAUACCAAAGCUUCUUCGCACAGACUGUGGCACUGAAAAUGGAACUAUGGCUGCAAUCCACUGUUCUCUGAAAUCAGUCCACACAGAUGACCUUGCAGGGGCUUCAAGCCACAUGUAUGGCUCCUCAAUCACAAACCAGCGAAUUGAAAGCUGGUGGUCAUACUUCAGAAAACAAAGGACUCAGUUCUGGAUGGAUCUUCUUAAUGACUUGAAAGAGAGGAAACUCUUUAAUGGCAGUCAUGAGCACAUAUGCUUGGUGCGUUUUGUGUUUUUAAGUGUGCUACAGAUGGACCUUAAUGAAUGCAAAGAAAUUUGGAACACUCACACCAUUAGGGCAGUUAAACAGUCUCGCUGUCCUUCUGGUAAACCAGAUGCAAUGUGCGCUC